GGGAACCCACUAUCUUUAGUCGGAUAGUAUCCUUACGUGAAUACAUAGCGUGAGGAAGGCAGACCCAGGGAACUGAAACAUCUAAGUACCUGGAGGAAGAGAAAGAAAAAUCGAUUUCCUGAGUAGCGGCGAGCGAAACGGAAAGAGCCCAAACCAAGAAGCUUGCUUCUUGGGGUUGUAGGACACUCUAUACGGAGUUACAAAAGAAAGUUAUAAAUGAAGCGGUCUGGAAAGGCCCGCCAAAGACGG
rnacentral:rRNA from 1 species